ensembl:lncRNA
CCUGUAUAUGUUCCUCUUCAUUCAGAUACCUCCUGUGGGCAGGUUGUCUCCGACCCAGACACUGCCAGUCCUGGACACUUCCGAAUGUGGACACUCCCUGUAAGGAGAUACUCCCCACAGCGAGGUACCCUUCUUCAUCAAGGUCCUCGGCCAUCUCCAGAUGCUUCCCUGAGUGUGGAGACUCCCUGCAGCCCGGCACCUCUCUAAUAGAUCCAGCCGCUUCAUUCUCUCGGUGUCCAUGGUGACGGGACUGUGGGCUGGGCGGUGAGGAAAUGCUGGCUGCUCACCUGAAGGGCUCCUGGGAUGCAUGGCUGUUGGAGGUGCCUGUCCCCGGGGUGUGCAGUGGAACCCUGACUCCCUGCACGCUCCGCCCCACAACGACCCAGCAUGGCCAGGCGUCCGACACCAGCACCUACAUCAGGGGUCGACCAGCAGCCUGAGCCUGAGCAGCAUCCCUGGGCCCUGGUAACCACAGCGGGAGGUACUGUGCACGGUCACUCCUGGACUCAUCGGGGCCGCCUGGGGGCUGACUCUGCACGCUGGGGUGCUGCUG